rnacentral:tRNA from 1 species
GCAGCGGUAGUUCAGUCGGUUAGAAUACCGGCCUGUCACGCGGGGGGUCGCGGGUUCGAGUCCCGUCCGCUGCGCCA